GUGUCAGCAGCCGCGGUAAUACGGAGGAUCCAAGCGUUAUCCGGAUUUAUUGGGUUUAAAGGGUGCGUAGGCGGCCUAUCAAGUCAGAGGUGAAAGACGGUAGCUUAACUAUCGCAGUGCCUUUGAAACUGGUGGGCUUGAAUGUACUUGAGGUAGGCGGAAUGUGACAAGUAGCGGUGAAAUGCAUAGAUAUGUCACAGAACACCGAUUGCGAAGGCAGCUUACUAAAGUAUGAUUGACGCUGAGGCACGAAAGCGUGGGGAUCAAACAGGAUUAGAUACCCUGGUAGUCCACGCCCUAAACGAUGAAUACUCGAUGUUGGCGAUAUACAGUCAGCGUCCAAGCGAAAGCGUUAAGUAUUCCACCUGGGGAGUACGGCCGCAAGGUUGAA
rnacentral:rRNA from 1 species